rnacentral:tRNA from 1 species
CAUGGGGUAGUUUAAGAAAAACAAAAGAUUGCAAAUCUUUAAUUGCCGAAGGCUCUCGUGU